rnacentral:rRNA from 1 species
GAUGAACGCUGGCGGCGUGCCUAAUACAUGCAAGUCGAGCGAACGGACGAGAAGCUUGCUUCUCUGAUGUUAGCGGCGGACGGGUGAGUAACACGUGGAUAACCUACCUAUAAGACUGGGAUAACUUCGGGAAACCGGAGCUAAUACCGGAUAAUAUUUUGAACCGCAUGGUUCAAAAGUGAAAGACGGUCUUGCUGUCACUUAUAGAUGGAUCCGCGCUGCAUUAGCUAGUUGGUAAGGUAACGGCUUACCAAGGCAACGAUGCAUCUCCGACCUGGGAGGGUGAUCGGCCACACUGGACCUGAGCCACGGUCCAGACUCCUACGGGAGGCAGCAGUAGGGAAUCUUCCGCGAUGGGCGAAAGCCUGACGGAGCAACGCCGCGUGAGUGAUGAAGGUCUGCGGAUCGUAAAACUCUGUUAGUAGGGAAGAACAUAUGUGUAAGUAACUGUGCACAUCUAGACGGUACCUAAUCAGAAAACCACGGCUAACUACGU